UCGCAUACACAUUCUUUAUUUAUUAUUAUUAUUUUCUGUAUUUUUUAUUUUUUUAUUUUUUUGGUGGGCCCAACUCAGCCCAUAUGGGCUGGGCUGGGCUGGGCCCAGCCCGGUCACUGGCCCAAGCCAGUGACCCAGCAAAUUUCAUCCGCAAGCGUGCGUGAAUUGUUCACGCACAAUUCACGCAUGCUUGCUGCAGUCACCACUUAAUUAAAUCUCUAAUGCACAGUAUUGGUGAAUUAUUUUACAAAGCUUGGAGAUACUUGCCUGGGAGCAGAAUGAAGGCGAUGGCGCUGUGCUGGACGAACGACGCUGCCUCCUCUUGCUCUGUUUUUUCCUUUGCUUUCUUUAUUUCCUGGUUUGCUUCUGUUCUUGCUUUCAGCCUCCCGGUUCUGCUCUUAUUUUUAGUUCCACCCCCGGUUCCUCAGUCCUUGUGAUGAAGAACAGAGGACGGUGCUGGCUUCUUCUUUUGAAUUUGGGUCUGUUUUUUUGGCUCUGUGUGUGGUAUUGUUCGUCUCCGUCUUCGUCCCUCCUCCUCUUGUUUGUUCGUCCGAUGGGCUGAGUUUGCGUCUCCUUUGCUCUUGGUUUGAGAUUCUGUCACCUUCAGUUCUGAGGUGAAGGGACAAAAAAGAUGGUGGGUUGCUCCUUGUCGCUGCGUCGCUCCUCUGCUUUUAUUUUUAUCAGUUUUUUUCCGUCCUCCUUCUCUGUUGCUGAGUUCCUCCUGUGAUUUGUGUUUUUUGGCUUCCCCUUUUUGUUCUUGACUCUGUCUCUUUUUUUGGGUUGAUUUCUGCCUUGUCAAUUCUGGGUUUUCUUC
rnacentral:lncRNA from 1 species